rnacentral:rRNA from 1 species
GAUGAACGCUGGCGGCGUGCCUAAUACAUGCAAGUCGAGCGAACAGACGAGGAGCUUGCUCCUCUGACGUUAGCGGCGGACGGGUGAGUAACACGUGGAUAACCUACCUAUAAGACUGGGAUAACGUCGGGAAACCGGAGCUAAUACCGGAUAAUAUAUUGAACCGCAUGGUUCAAUAGUGAAAGACGGUUUUGCUGUCACUUAUAGAUGGAUCCGCGCCGCAUUAGCUAGUUGGUAAGGUAACGGCUUACCAAGGCGACGAUGCGUAGCCGACCUGAGAGGGUGAUCGGCCACACUGGAACUGAGACACGGUCCAGACUCCUACGGGAGGCAGCAGUAGGGAAUCUUCCGCAAUGGGCGAAAGCCUGACGGAGCAACGCCGCGUGAGUGAUGAAGGUCUUCGGAUCGUAAAACUCUGUUAUUAGGGAAGAACAAAUGUGUAAGUAACUAUGCACGUCUUGACGGUACCUAAUCAGAAAGACACGGCUAACUACG